rnacentral:misc_RNA from 1 species
GACAGAGGGUGCGAACGUUGCUCGGAAUUACUGGGCGUAAAGCGCGUGUAGGCGGAUAGGGAAGUCGGGUGUGAAAUCCCUGGGCUCAACCCAGGAACUGCAUCCGAAACUCCCCAUCUAGAGUGCCGGAGAGGGAAGUGGAAUUCCUGGUGUAGAGGUGAAAUUCGUAGAUAUCAGGAGGAACACCGGUGGCGAAGGCGGCUUCCUGGACGGUUACUGACGCUGAGACGCGAAAGCGUGGGGAGCAAACAGG